GACGAACGCUGGCGGCGUGCCUAAUACAUGCAAGUAGAACGCUGAGGACUGGUGCUUGCACUGGUCUAAGGAGUUGCGAACGGGUGAGUAACGCGUAGGUAACCUACCUCAUAGCGGGGGAUAACACCUGGAAACAGAUGCUAAUACCGGAUAACAACACUAGACGCAUGUCUAGAGUUUGAAAGAUGGUUCUGCUAUCACUCUUGGAUGGACCUGCGGUGCAUUAGCUAGUUGGUAAGGUAACGGCUUACCAAGGCAAUGAUGCAUAGCCGAGUUGAGAGACUGAUCGGCCACAUUGGGACUGAGACACGGCCCAA
rnacentral:rRNA from 1 species